ACGUAGGGGGCAAACGUUGUCCGGAUUUACUGGGUGUAAAGGGUGCUCAGGCGGUUUUGUAAGUCAGAAGUGAAAUCCUAGAGCUUAACUCUGGAACUGCUUUUGAUACUGCAAGGCUUGAAUGUGGAAGAGGAGGAUGGAAUUUCUGGUGUAGCAGUGAAAUGCGUAGAUAUCAGAAAGAACACCAGUGGCGAAGGCGGUCCUCUGGUCCACUAUUGACGCUAAAGCACGAAAGCGUGGGGAGCAAACAGGAUUAGAUACCCUGGUAGUCCACGCCUUAAACGAUGAAUACUAGACGUUGGGGUUAAACUCAGUGUCGCAGCUAACGCAUUAAGUAUUCCACCUGGGGAGUACGAUCGCAAGGUUG
rnacentral:rRNA from 1 species